CCAUCGUCCUGCCAGGCUUGUGACUCCUUGAAGGCUCACCACACAUCCUCCAGGCAUCUGUCAAGGUUCCAGUGUUUAAGGAAGCACCACUGACUGACUGUCACACAGACCCUCAGGACCCAUUGUGUUUUCAUAUUGUUCCAGUUAGUCCUUAUUACAGAGCAAUGCUGUUUGAACAUGUGGUCUCCUUAACCCCAGCCAGUGAUUGGGACAUGCCACCAUAGCAGCAAAUGCCCAGCUUCUUCCUACUGAAGGUCCCUGCCCUCAGGGCUAGGGUGGAUGGAGCCUGGGAAUGGAGGGACAUUUGUAGACUCUGUAGCCAUUUCCUAGAAACUUCUGAGUUCACCGUUGAAUGAUAUUACUUUUUUUUUAAUUGAAGUUUUGUGGGAACCCUAUGUCAAGCAAUCUAUGGGUACCGUCUUUCCACAAUCAUUUGCUCACU